AUACGGAGGGUGCAAGCGUUAUUCGGAAUCACUGGGCGUAAAGGACGCGUAGGCGGGUUGGCAAGUCAGAUGUGAAAUCCUACAGCUUAACUGUAGAACUGCAUUUGAAACUGCUAACCUAGAGUAUGGGAGGGGGAGAUGGAAUUAGUGGUGUAGGGGUAAAAUACGUAGAUAUCACUAGGAAUACCGAAAGCGAAGGCGAUCUCCUGGAACAUAACUGACGCUAAGGCGUGAAAGCGUGGGGAGCAAACAGGAUUAGAUACCCUAGAGUCC
rnacentral:rRNA from 1 species